rnacentral:rRNA from 1 species
AGUGAACGCUGGCGGUAGGCCUAACACAUGCAAGUCGAACGGCAGCACAGUAAGAGCUUGCUCUUACGGGUGGCGAGUGGCGGACGGGUGAGGAAUACAUCGGAAUCUACUUUUUCGUGGGGGAUAACGUAGGGAAACUUACGCUAAUACCGCAUACGACCUACGGGUGAAAGCAGGGGAUCUUCGGACCUUGCGCGAUUGAAUGAGCCGAUGUCGGAUUAGCUAGUUGGCGGGGUAAAGGCCCACCAAGGCGACGAUCCGUAGCUGGUCUGAGAGGAUGAUCAGCCACACUGGAACUGAGACACGGUCCAGACUCUGACGGGAGGCAGCAGUGGGGAAUAUUGGACAAUGGGCGCAAGCCUGAUCCAGCCAUACCGCGUGGGUGAAGAAGGCCUUCGGGUUGUAAAGCCCUUUUGUUGGGAAAGAAAAGCAGCAGGUUAAUACCCCGCUGUUCUGACGGUACCCAAAGAAUAAGCACCGGCUAACUUCGU